GUGGGGAAUCUUCCGCAAUGGACGAAAGUCUGACGGAGCAACGCCGCGUGAGUGAAGAAGGUUUUCGGAUCGUAAAGCUCUUUCGUUAGGGACGAACGUGCUCUUUGUGAAUAAUGAGGAGUAAUGACGGUACCUAAAUAAGAAGCCACGGCUAACUACGUGCCAGCAGCCGCGGUAAUACGUAGGUGGCAAGCGUUGUCCGGAAUUAUUGGGCGUAAAGCGCGCGCAGGGGGGAUAUCAAGUCUGUCUUAAAAGUGCGAGGCUCAACCUCGUGAGGGGACAGAAACUGGUAUUCUUGAGUGUCGGAGAGGAAAGUGGAAUUCCAAGUGUAGCGAUGAAAUGCGUAGAGAUUUGGAAGAACACCAGUGGCGAAGGCGACUUUCUGGACGAUGUCUGACGCUGAGGCGCGAAAGCUAGGGGAGCGAACGGGAUUAGAAACCCGGGUAGUCC
rnacentral:rRNA from 1 species